rnacentral:rRNA from 1 species
CAGUAGCGUAUAUUAAAGUUGUUGCAGUUAAAAUGCUCGUAGUUGAAGUUCGGAUGCAGCAGAGCUUGGAAACGCUGUUAUGGUGCUUCCGUUGCUUUUGCUUGUCCACAGUGCGUUGCAAGUACGUAUGUGCUUGUGCGUGCAUUUUACUUUGAGAAACAUAGGGUGUUCCACGCAUGUUACGGCAUGAAUAUUCCAGCAUGGGAUAAUCUGGUACGACUUCCAAUCUGCCAUUUUGGUUCGUAGGUUGGAAGUAAUGAUUAAUAGGGACUGUCGGGGGCAUUCGUAUUUGACUGUCAGAGGUGAAAUUCUUAGAUUCGUUGAGGACCAACCACUGCGAAAGCAUUUGUCAAGGAUGUCUCCAUUAA